rnacentral:rRNA from 1 species
UACAGAGGGCUCAAGCGUUGUUCGGAUUCAUUGGGCGUAAAGGGUGCGUAGGCGGCGCGGUAAGUCGGGGGUGAAAUCUCGGAGCUUAACUCCGAAACUGCAUUCGAUACUGCCGUGCUUGAGGACUGGAGAGGAGACUGGAAUUUACGGUGUAGCGGUGAAAUGCGUAGAUAUCGUAAGGAAGACCAGUGGCGAAGGCGGGUCUCUGGACAGUUCCUGACGCUGAGGCACGAAGGUCAGGGGAGCAAACGGG